rnacentral:rRNA from 1 species
CNACCUUCCGCUUACUCGGGGAUAGCCUUUCGAAAGAAAGAUUAAUACCCGAUGGUAUCUUAAGCACNCAUGANAUUAAGAUUAAAGAUUUAUCGGUAAGCGAUGGGGAUGCGUUCCAUUAGGCAGUUGGCGGGGUAACGGCCCGCCAAACCUACGAUGGAUAGGGGUUCUGAGAGGAAGGUCCCCCACAUUGGAACUGAGACACGGUCCAAACUCCUACGGGAGGCAGCANUGAGGAAUAUUGGUCAAUGGGCGAGAGCCUGGACCANCCAAGUANCGUGAAGGAUGACGGCCCUACGGGUUGUAAACUUCUUUUGUGCGGGAAUAAAGGAGCUUACGUGUAGGCUUUUGCAUGUACCGUAACGAAUAAGCAUCGGCUAACUCCGUGCCAGCAGCCGCGGUAAUACGGAGGAUGCGAGCGUUAUCCGGAUUUAUUGGGUUUAAAGGGAGCGUAGAUGGAUGUUUAAGUCANUUGUGAAAGUUUGCGGCUCAACCGUAAAAUUGCANUUGAUACUGGAUAUCUUGAGUGCANUUGAGGCAGGCGGAAUUCNUGGUGUANCGGUGANAUGCUUANAUAUCANNAANAACUCCGAUUG